CUUCUCCGCGCUAAUACGUCAAACAUCGUAUUUUGACCUAAGAUACAUUUGUUUAAAAGAGCAUCGCCAUUGCACCGUUUGUCCGCCUUCUCUUCCUGUCCGUCUGCACUUGGCUGAGUGGGCACAGGUGUGGCAUCAUUCUGUGUGUCAGGAGCAUUUGCACUAAGAGCGGCCUUUAAGCUGGCAGCAAGACCACCGCUACUGCCUGUUGGACCUGUGGCGGCACCGGCAGGGGCACCACCGGCAGCACCGGCAGCGGGAUCGGAAGCUCCAGAAUCCCCAGGCUCGGAUGCACGAAGCCUCUUCAUGAGUGUGGUCACUCUGACAGCUUUCUGUGAGGACACACAUGGACACGCUGAACACAAUGGCAGGGGGUGCUGGAGCCUAUCCCAGCUGCACUCGGGCGGAAGGCGGGGUACACCCUGAAAAAGUCGGCACCUCAUCACAGGGCCCACACAGAUUGAUAGACAACAUUCACGCUCAGCAUGUACGUGUCUACAUACAUGUUGUGCGUUGUUUGCUGUGUGAUGUUGCCUCUUCCUAUUCGAUAUCAAGUUAACUUUAGUGUGGUGCUGGUUGUUGCUUUCAUUAGUAAAAUGUUACU